AUGGAGUUGAUUAGCUGGAAUGUACGUGGCUUGAACAGUCCAGCUAGGAGAAAAGCUUUGAGGGAGUUUAUUGAUUCUACUAGGCCGGGUAUUUGUUGUAUUCAGGAGUCUAAGCUAGACUAUGUAGACCAGUUCAUGAUUUUGCAAUGCUUUGGCCCAUCUUAUGAUGGUUUCUCGUACCUGCCGGCCGUUGGGACAAGAGGUGGCAUUAUC
rnacentral:rRNA from 1 species